CAGCAGCAGCCGCGGUAAUACGAAGGGUGCAAGCGUUAAUCGGAAUUACUGGGCGUAAAGCGUGCGUAGGCGGUGAGUUAAGUCUGCUGUGAAACCCCCGGGCUCAACCUGGGAAUGGCAGUGGAUACUGGCUCGCUAGAGUGUGUCAGAGGAUGGUGGAAUUCCCGGUGUAGCGGUGAAAUGCGUAGAGAUCGGGAGGAACAUCAGUGGCGAAGGCGGCCAUCUGGGACAACACUGACGCUGAGGCACGAAAGCGUGGGGAGCAAACAGGAUUAGAUACCCCCGUAGUCCCUGUCUCUUAUAC
rnacentral:rRNA from 1 species